UACGGGAGGCAGCAGUGGGGAAUAUUGGACAAUGGGCGAAAGCCUGAUCCAGCAAUGCCGCGUGUGUGAAGAAGGCCUGCGGGUUGUAAAGCACUUUCAAUUGGGAGGAAAAGCUGAAGGCCAAUACCCUUUAGUCU
rnacentral:rRNA from 1 species